rnacentral:rRNA from 1 species
CUACGGGAGGCUGCAGUGGGGAAUAUUGCACAAUGGGCGCAAGCCUGAUGCAGCCAUGCCGCGUGUAUGAAGAAGGCCUUCGGGUUGUAAAGUACUUUCAGCGGGGAGGAAGGGAGUAAAGUUAAUACCUUUGCUCAUUGACGUUACCCGCAGAAGAAGCACCGGCUAACUCCGGGCCAGCAGCCGCGGUAAUACGGAGGGUGCAAGCGUUAAUCGGAAUUACUGGGCGUAAAGCGCACGCAGGCGGUUUGUUAAGUCAGAUGUGAAAUCCCCGGGCUCAACCUGGGAACUGCAUCUGAUACUGGCAAGCUUGAGUCUCGUAGAGGGGGGUAGAAUUCCAGGUGUAGCGGUGAAAUGCGUAGAGAUCUGGAGGAAUACCGGUGGCGAAGGCGGCUCCCUGGACGAAGACUGACGCUCAGGUGCGAAAGCGUGGGGAGCAAACAGGAUUAGAUACCCGCGUAGUC